rnacentral:tRNA from 1 species
CGGGGUGUAGCUCAACAUGGUAGAGCAUCCGCCUUGGUGGCGGGAGUACGGGGGUUCGAGUCCUUCCAUCCCGA